CCCUUAGAUGUCCUGGGCCGCACGCGCGCUACACUGAGUGUCUGAGAUACGAGUCUGCCUGGUCCGGCAAGGUCUAGGUAAUCGCUAAAAGACACAUCAUGCUUGGGAUAGAUUAUUGCAAAUAUUAAUCUUGAACGAGGAAUUCCUAGUAAGCGCAAGUCAACAGCUUGCGUUGAUUACGUCCCUGCCCUUUGUACACACCGCCCGUCGCUACUACUGAUUGGAUGUUUAAGCGAGGUUCUCGAACUGCUAGCGACUUAGCUUCGGUGAGGUCGCAGUGUAGGAAGUGAACCUAGCUUUGGUGUCUAGAGGAAGUAAAAGUCGUAACA
rnacentral:rRNA from 1 species